rnacentral:rRNA from 1 species
CAUGCCGUAAACGAUGUCUACUAGCCGUUGGGGGAUUUGAUCCUUUAGUGGCGCAGCUAACGCGAUAAGUAGACCGCCUGGGGAGUACGGUCGCAAGACUAAAACUCAAAUGAAUUGACGGGGGCCCGCACAAGCGGUGGAGCAUGUGGUUUAAUUCGAUGCAACGCGAAGAACCUUACCUGGCCUUGACAUAGUAGAAACUUUCCAGAGAUGGAUUGGUGCCUUCGGGAAUCUACAUACAGGUGC